rnacentral:rRNA from 1 species
UACGUAGGUGGCAAGCGUUGUCCGGAUUUAUUGGGUUUAAAGGGUGCGUAGGCGGUUGAUUAAGUCAGUUGUGAAAUCCGGCAGCUUAACUGUCGAGGUGCAAUUGAUACUGGUUGACUUGAGUACAGACGAGGUAGGCGGAAUUGACGGUGUAGCGGUGAAAUGCAUAGAUAUCGUCAAGAACACCGAUAGCGAAGGCAGCUUACUAGACUGUAACUGACGCUGAGGCACGAAAGUGUGGGGAUCAAACAGG